UCCAUGUGUAGCGGUGAAAUGCGUAGAUAUAUGGAGGNACACCGGUGGCGAAAGCGGCUCUCUGGUCUGUAACUGACGCUGAGGCUCGAAAGCGUGGGGAGCGAACAGGAUUAGAUACCCUGGUAGUCCACGCCGUAAACGAUGAGUGCUAGGUGUUGGAUCCUUUCCGGGAUUCAGUGCCGCAGCUAACGCAUUAAGCACUCCGCCUGGGGAGUACGACCGCAAGGUUGAAACUCAAAGGAAUUGACGGGGGCCCGCACAAGCGGUGGAGCAUGUGGUUUAAUUCGAAGCAACGCGAAGAACCUUACCAGGUCUUGACAUCCCGAUGCUAUUUCUAGAGAUAGGAAGUUACUUCGGUACAUCGGUGACAGGUGGUGCAUGGUUGUUGUCAGCUCGUGUCGUGAGAUNNNNNNNUAAGUCCCGCAACGAGCGCAACCCCUAUUGUUAGUUGCCAUCAUUCAGUUGGGCACUCUAGCAAGACUGCCGGUAAUAAACCGGAGGAAGGUGGGGAUGACGUCAAAUCAUCAUGCCCCUUAUGACCUGGGCUACACACGUGCUACAAUGGUUGGUACAACGAGUUGCGAGUCGGUGACGGCGAGCUAAUCUCUUAAAGCCAAUCUCAGUUCGGAUUGUAGGCUGCAACUCGCCUACAUGAAGUCGGAAUCGCUAGUAAUCGCGGAUCAGCACGCCGCGGUGAAUACGUUCCCGGGCCUUGUACACACCGCCCGUCACACCACGAGAGUUUGUAACACCCGAAGUCGGUGAGGUAACCUUAUG
rnacentral:rRNA from 1 species